AACAACAAAGAAGAAAA
rnacentral:sRNA from 1 species